GUUUAUGAUUUAGGGUUUAGGGGUUAGGGUUUAGGGUUUAGAAUUUAGGGUUUUGGGUUUAGAGUUUAGGGUUUAGGGUUUAGGGUUUAGGGUUUAGAGUUGAGAAAUGAGGUUUUAGGGAUUAGAUUUCAAAUUUUGAAAAAUAAAAAAAUUAAAAUUUUCAAAGAUAAACUUAUAAAUGUGCUAUUUUGGUCAUUUUAGUUUUU
rnacentral:lncRNA from 1 species